AAAAUUUAAACGUACAUGAACUAAAAUUAACAGAUGCAAUAGUUUAAGAUUAAUCUGAAUGGAUGCAACUAUUCAAGACUAAUCUGAAAAGACGCAACAGUUCGAUACUGAUCCGAAAAAACUCAUCUGUUGGGGGAUAAAAUUGCAAUUAAAAAAACUUAUUUAUUAAAAAUAAAUAAUUUUUUAUAAAAAAUAUACAUAGCAAUCCGACCCACAACCCACAACUGCACCC
rnacentral:lncRNA from 1 species